rnacentral:rRNA from 1 species
AUGGUUAUUGAACCGGAAAAGACUCUAGAUCCGGAAGAAACCAAUGCCGAUGCCAUGCUUAAUGAUCCGCCGCCUCAAGACCAUGACUUCUCUACUGAACAAGUAGAAAUUGACACCAUAAGCCAUGCUGAUAAAUCGACCAGCCCUGUCCGAACUGAUGACAAACCGGGCAGCCCAGCUAAAGCUACGGAUAAACCGCCAACUCCAGUAAAGGCUGCUGAUGAUAAAGAGGAUGAUAUCAUGAUUACUAGCAUUGGCGACACCACUCCUGGCAAUCCUGUCGCUUUAACAAAGCAUACUGCCAAGGACGAGCUUUCUGCUAUCAGCAAAGGCAAUGGAACGCCGAUUUGUCAAGCUAUGCCCAUCUCACUGCUCAAGAUAUUCACUCUGGCUUCUUGA